rnacentral:rRNA from 1 species
UGGGGAAUAUUGGACAAUGGGCGCAAGCCUGAUCCAGCCAUGCCGCGUGUGUGAAGAAGGCCUUUUGGUUGUAAAGCACUUUAAGCGAGGAGGAGGCUACUUGGAUUAAUACUCUAGGAUAGUGGACGUUACUCGCAGAAUAAGCACCGGCUAACUCUGUGCCAGCAGCCGCGGUAAUACAGAGGGUGCGAGCGUUAAUCGGAUUUACUGGGCGUAAAGCGUGCGUAGGCGGCUUCUUAAGUCGGAUGUGAAAUCCAUGAGCUUAACUUAGGAAUUGCAUUCGAUACUGGGAAGCUAGAGUAUGGGAGAGGAUGGUAGAAUUCCAGGUGUAGCGGUGAAAUGCGUAGAGAUCUGGAGGAAUACCGAUGGCGAAGGCAGCCAUCUGGGCUAAUACUGACGCUGAGGUACGAAAGCAUGGGGAGCAAACAGG